rnacentral:rRNA from 1 species
UCGGACAGGGAGCAUGGUAUAGGUUGGCGAAGAAUGAAAUCUCAAGACCCAACCUGGACCAACUGAGGCGAAAGCGGUGCUCUUGUACGCGUCUGUGGAUCAAGGACGAAGGCUAGAGGAUCGAAAGUGAUUAGACACCGCUGUAGUUCUAGCAGUAAACUAUGCCGACAUUCUCUGUUGUUGAGACGGGGAGGGGAGAAAUCUUAGUUUUCGGGCUCUGGGGAUAGUACGCUUGCAAGAGUGAAACUUAAAGCGAAAUUGACGGAAGAUCACCACAAGGAGUGGAUUGUACUGCUUAAUUUGACUCAACACGGGAAAACUUACCAGGGCCAAGUCUCUCGUAGAUUGGCGACAUGAGAGGGGCAAGAGUGGUGCAUGGCCGUUGGAAAUUGAUGGGAA